ensembl:lncRNA
AAAAAAAAAAACAAAAAACAACCAAACAAAUGUGCAGAGUCAGCACUUCACAACUCAACAGAAUACAGAAAUGACUCGUUUUUAUUAUCAUAAGCAUACACUUCAGAAGUGAUCCUCCAUAGAUAUCAAACCAGAAAAGCAAACAGGUCGGUGGGGAGAUGAGAGUUUACCAGUAGGGAGAAGAGGCAGCGGGUAAGGAAGCCCUGCAGAGAAACCCCUGGGAAAGGCAUGGGCUGGCACCUGGCACGGCUGCUCUGUUGGGGAUUGUACUGCAGUCUGUAAGCUUGGUCGGUUGUUUUUGUCCAUGAAAACAAAGUUAUGCUGUUGUAGGUUUAUUAUUUUCUUUGUAAAUUAGGAAUUGUUGGUAUUUCAAAUUGAUGUUUCAUGGAAUCAUAGAAUGGCUCCCGUUGGAAGGGAGCUCAAAGAUCAUAUUGGUGGUAGGUGGACGGUUGGACUGGAUGUCCUCGGAGGUCUUUUCCAACCGUGGUGAUUCUACGAUUUCCUUCACUUGAAUGCCCAUGAGCUGUUUUCUGCCAGCCCAGCCCUCCUUUCUACACCAGCACUUCUGCUGCCUGAGUAUCUGUGGCCACAACGCAAGCGACAAAACCAGACCAGCUUUUCCAAACGUGGUUAAAACGAGCUGCUCCCCGGCCCCACGGCAUACAGAGCUGCUGCGACUUCUGCAAUAACACGAUGAAAUAUCUGGGUGACCACACGGCCAAUUUUAAGCGGCCAAUUUGGAGUUUCUGGUUGGUAGAGCACCGAGGGAGUGCAAGGUUCAAAAGCUGGCCAUCACACAACGUAUUUCACAAUGAAUUCAGACUGUUUUUCUAACCCAGAUGUCUUGUUUAAAAACCAGCACAACCCUCCAAGGUAUACAAAUAAUUAAUUUCAACCCAGGCUCCGAAGCAGCAGCUCCCAAACUUUCUUUUCUGGCUGCGACCUCAUUUUACAGACCGGUAACUCCGUGCAACCCCAAACAGCAGAAUAAAUAUUGGACAAAAUGAAAUUUCCGCCAGGUUCACGACCUUGCUCAUAACUUCAACCAACCUCAUUUUGGGGCCAUCGUCCUCUCUGGGAGCUGACAAAGUUCUAAUACAGAUGAUGUCCAAAGCGCACCGAUGGGCCACCAAUGGUGGCUCUAAGGUCACUUACACCAAAAUCCUCCCCACAGCUCUGCUUGCUCUUCACAGAGGGCAAAAACCAAGGUAUGGAUGUUACCCGAUCACAUCAUAAAUAAAUCCCCUUAAAAUUACCACCCUCACUGGUUUCUAUUGCAACAAGACGUAUCUCAGCAUUAGGGGAACUACACUGGACUCUGUAUGCUGCUGGGAACCCAUCGGUGUCACUGAUGGGAAUGAUGAGAUACAGAUAGGAUACCACACAACCACACACAGGUCUGCAGCCCAGUGUACAUCAGGACCUUUCCACAGUGAGUAUCAGACACCAAGAGGGUAAAAUUGGCCCCAAAGCGCUUCGGCAGCACUCGGCUUCCAGCCCUGCCCUGAGUUCAUGGCUUCUGACAGCAAUGUACACAACUGAAAGCAAGAAGCAGCAAGUUCCUGCACAGACAUCCUGGGGACAGACGUCAGGGGCUGCUGCUCGGACAUGCCUUGCGCCCAGACACCCACAGCGGGGCUCAGCCAGCACUGUGCAGAGCAAGCACUGUGCACACAUUGCUUCCUCGUUCCACAGUCUGAAUGUUAACCACCAGGAUAUUCCCAUCAACGUGCAGAAAAGCAAGGGUAAAAAAAAAAAAAAAAAAUGUAGUCCUUUGGCUCCCCGUUGCCAUUAAAAUUAAUUGCCACAUAAAAUUGCUGAUUCCUAGCAAAUGAAGCCGUACGAUUUAUCAACUCACGGAUAGAGCAAACUCACUGGUGGUUUAAAUACAUUACCUGAGUUAUUACUAAAUUUUGUUCCAGUGACAGUUUUAUGGAUAAUGUAGGUUUUAUAAAUUCAUUAGCAUGGGACUAACUUUCAAAGUAAACAAAGACACUAAAUAAACAUCGCGGCGCUGUAUUUACACACAAAUAGAUUUCCCCUUCCUCCCAAAGCCAUGCUGGGAUGCUCAGAAGAAAAAUACGAGAGCAGCUCUGCAGGGGCACUCCGUGAAGGGAUGAUGUGACCCCAGGACCAGGGCCAGGUUUUCACCCACAGGGUGGUGACGCACUGAACAGGUUGCCCAAGGAGGCUGUGGAUGCCCCAUCCCUGGAGGCAUUCAAGGCCAGGCUGGAUGUGGCUCUGGGCAGCCUGGGCUGCUGGUUGGCGACCCUGCACAUAGCAGGGGGUUGGAACUGGAUGAGCAUUGGGGUCCUUUUCAACCCAGGCCAUUCUGUGAGUCUAUGAACACUGAAAUACAUCAAAAUGCUGAGAAAAGUUGUGCUGGUUUUGCUCAUUUUUGUCUCCUUUGCCUUCAGCUAUUUUGUACUCUACGAUACAAGAGAUGUAUUUUGGCUGCUCUGUACCAAGCGUGGCAAUUGUAGGAGCUUAUCCUGAUAGGGAAAAGAGGCCACUAAUAGUAGACACUGGGUCAGUGGAAGCUUAAAAGAAAGACAGCAAUUAGGACUAAUGGGUAAAUUAGAUAAUGUAACAGUUAAAAUAAUUCUGGCUGGCUCAAUUGAGACCAUCCCACACCUCACUACGUGAAGGGCUUGGCCAGCGUACAGUGUGGAACAGCAAUCUACUGCAAUCUCGUUAGCUCAUCUAACUAACUGCAGUUUGCCUCCACUUACUUCUAAUUUUAGAUUUAAACUCUCUACAGCAGAGCACAUGCAGGGUGAAAACAAAUAUUCAACAUUAUGCUCCGCUGAAACGCACUGCAAGGAGGUUUUCCCUGGGGAGGAGCAGGGUGGCUUCUUUUACCCAGCAAACGAAGUGCUCGGGAUGGUGACAGCCUGGGACAGCCCCUGCUCUUGCAGUGUGGGGUGCAGGGCUCCUCGGAAAAUCCCACUUCCUCUUGGUCUCC